rnacentral:misc_RNA from 1 species
GUGAGGACAUCAGGGCGCCGCAGGAUGUGAGGCGGAACCAGUCGGUGGGGAAUCUCAGUGGAGGGGGGAGGGAGCAGCAGCCGUCGAGAUCCAAAUCGACGGAGGAUAUAUACACAAGGACGCAGCUGGAGGCGUCGGCGGCGAAUAAGGAGAGCUUCUUUGCGAGGAAGAUGGAGGAGAAUGAUGCUCGGCCGGUGGGGGUGCCUCCGUCGAAGGGUGGGAAGUACGUUGGGUUUGGAUCGACCCCGCUGCCUUCUGCUGCUCAACAGAAUGGUUCGCAGGGGGAUGUGAUUCGAGAUACAGUCUCUGUAGUCUCACAGGGAUUUGGCCGACUAUCUCUGGUCGCUGCUUCUGCCGCUCAAUCUGCUGCUCUUCUCGCCCAAGCUGGUACGAAAGAGCUGACAUCCAAGGUGAGGGAGGGAGGCUAUGACCAAAAGGUGAAUGAAACUGUGACUGUAGUUGCCUCGAAAACGACUGAAAUCGGCCAGAAAACAUGGGGGAUCAUGAAGGGUGUCAUGGCAAUGGCAUCACAAAAGGUUGAGGAAUACACCGG